AACACGUAGGAAUCUUCCUGACAGUGGGGGACAACUUGGGGAAACUCGAGCUAAUACCGCAUACACCCUNCGGGNGAAANCAGGGGACCNUUAUGNCCUUGCGCUGACAGAUGAGCCUGCGUCGGAUUAGCUUGUUGGUAGGGUAAUGACCUACCAAGGCGACGAUCCGUANCUGGUCUGAGAGGUCGAUCAGCCACACUGGGACUGAGACACGGCCCAGACUCCUACGGGAGGCAGCAGUGGGGAAUAUUGGACAAUGGGCGCAAGCCUGAUCCAGCAAUACCGCGUGUGUGAAGAAGGCCUGCGGGUUGUAAAGCACUUUCAGGGGGGAAGAAAAGCCAGGUGCUAAUAUCAUCAGNUCUUGACGAUACCCCAAG
rnacentral:rRNA from 1 species